GGGGUUGUGACUCAGAGGUAGAGCGCUCGCCUACCAUGUGUGAGGCUCUGGGGUCAAUCCUCAGCACCACA
rnacentral:tRNA from 1 species